GCCGAGGUGGCAGAGGUGGUCAACGCACCGGUCUGAAAAACCGGCAAUGUCGGUUCGACUCCGACCUUCGGCA
rnacentral:tRNA from 1 species